UACGGAGGGUGCAAGCGUUAUCCGGAUUUAUUGGGUUUAAAGGGUCCGUAGGCUGAUUUGUAAGUCAGUGGUGAAAUCUCACAGCUCAACUGUGAAACUGCCAUUGAUACUGCAAGUCUUGAGUGUUGUUGAAGUAGCUGGAAUAAGUAGUGUAGCGGUGAAAUGCAUAGAUAUUACUUAGAACACCAAUUGCGAAGGCAGGUUACUAAGCAACAACUGACGCUGAUGGACGAAAGCGUGGGGAGCGAACAGG
rnacentral:rRNA from 2 species